AGAGACAGGUUUAUACCGACAACCUAUAGAGAGAAAGAGACAGGUUUUACCGACAACCUAUAGAGAGAAGAGACAGGUUAUACCAGACCUACAACCUAUAGAGAAGAAGACAGGUUAUACCGCAACCUAUAGAGAAAGAGACAGUUAUACCAGACCUACAACCUGUAGAGAGAAGAGACAGGUUAUACCGACAACCUAUAGAGAGAAGAGACAGGUUAUACCUACAACCUAUAGAGAGAAGAGACAGGGUUUAUACCUACAACCUAUAGAGCAGAAGAAAGGUUAUACGACAACUAUAGAGAGAAGCUUAACCAGACCUACGACCUGUAGAGAGAAGACACAGGUUAUACCAGACCUACAACCCUAUAGAGAGAGAGGACAGGUUAUACCGACAACCUAUAGAGAGAAGAGACAGUUAUACGACAACCUAUAGAGAGAAGAGACAGGUUAUACCGACAACCUGAUAGAGAGAAGAGACAGGUUAUACCGACAACCUAUAGAGAGAAGAGACAGGUUAUACCGACAAACCUAUAGAGGAAGAGACAGGUUAUACCUACAACCUAUAGAGAGAAGAGACAGUUAUACCAGACCUA
rnacentral:lncRNA from 1 species